rnacentral:pre_miRNA from 1 species
AAAGUACUCCCUCCGUUCCAAAUUACUCGUCGUAGAAAUGGAUGUAUCUAGAACUAAAAUAUAUCUAGAUACAUCCAUAUCUGUGACAAGUAAUUCGGAACGGAGGGAGUAAUUG